rnacentral:rRNA from 1 species
AGCAUUUGCUGUACCGCGUUGACGGAGCGAAGCGACGUCAAACCGAUAAAACAGCAGUGUAAAGUGAGCCGCAGGGCGCUUUGCGCGACAGCGCAAAGGCAGGCGGUUUCGCGUAGCGAAAGCGAAUGCUUUGGGGUGGGGUGACUGCGUACCUUUUGUAUAAUGGGUCAGCGACUUAUAUUCUGUAGCAAGGUUAACCGAAUAGGGGAGCCGGAGGGAAACCGAGUCUUAAUUGGGCGUUAAGUUGCAGGGUAUAGACCCGAAACCCGGUGAUCUAGCCAUGGGCAGGUUGAAGGGUGGGUAACACUAACUGGAGGACCGAACCGACUAAUGUUGAAAAAUUAGCGGAUGACCUGUGGCUGGGGGUGAAAGGCCAAUCAAACCGGGAGAUAGCUGGUUCUCCCCGAAAGCUAUUUAGGUAGCGCCUCGUGAAUUCAUCUCCGGGGGUAGAGCACUGUUUCGGCUAGGGGGCCAUCCCGGCUUACCAACCCGAUGCAAACUGCGAAUACCGGAGAAUGUUAUCACGGGAGACACACGGCGGGUGCUAACGUCCGUCGUGAAGAGGGAAACAACCCAGACCGCCAGCUAAGGUCCCAAAGUCAUGGUUAAGUGGGAAACGAUGUGGGAAGGCCCAGACAGCCAGGAUGUUGGCUUAGAAGCAGCCAUCAUUUAAAGAAAGCGUAAUAGCUCACUGGUCGAGUCGGCCUGCGCGGAAGAUGUAACGGGGCUAAACCAUGCACCGAA